UUUAUGGAGAGUUUGAUCCUGGCUCAGAGUGAACGCUGGCGGCGUGCCUAAUACAUGCAAGUCGAACGAUGAAGCUUCUAGCUUGCUAGAAGUGGAUUAGUGGCGUACGGGUGAGUAACGCAUAGGUCAUGUGCCUCUUAGUUUGGGAUAGCCAUUGGAAACGAUGAUUAAUACCAGAUACUCCCUACGGGGGAAAGAUUUAUCGCUAAGAGAUCAGCCUAUGUCCUAUCAGCUUGUUGGUAAGGUAAUGGCUUACCAAGGCUAUGACGGGUAUCCGGCCUGAGAGGGUGAACGGACACACUGGAACUGAGACACGGUCCAGACUCCUACGGGAGGCAGCAGUAGGGAAUAUUGCUCAAUGGGGGAAACCCUGAAGCAGCAACGCCGCGUGGAGGAUGAAGGUUUUAGGAUUGUAAACUCCUUUUGUUAGAGAAGAUAAUGACGGUAUCUAACGAAUAAGCACCGGCUAACUCCGUGCCAGCAGCCGCGGUAAUACGGAGGGUGCAAGCGUUACUCGGAAUCACUGGGCGUAAAGAGCGCGUAGGCGGGAUAGUCAGUCAGGUGUGAAAUCCUAUGGCUUAACCAUAGAACUGCAUUUGAAACUACUAUUCUAGAGUGUGGGAGAGGUAGGUGGAAUUCUUGGUGUAGGGGUAAAAUCCGUAGAGAUCAAGAGGAAUACUCAUUGCGAAGGCGACCUGCUGGAACAUUACUGACGCUGAUUGCGCGAAAGCGUGGGGAGCAAACAGGAUUAGAUACCCUGGUAGUCCACGCCCUAAACGAUGGAUGCUAGUUGUUGGAGGGCUUAGUCUCUCCAGUAAUGCAGCUAACGCAUUAAGCAUCCCGCCUGGGGAGUACGGUCGCAAGAUUAAAACUCAAAGGAAUAGACGGGGACCCGCACAAGCGGUGGAGCAUGUGGUUUAAUUCGAAGAUACACGAAGAACCUUACCUAGGCUUGACAUUGAGAGAAUCCGCUAGAAAUAGUGGAGUGUCUAGCUUGCUAGACCUUGAAAACAGGUGCUGCACGGCUGUCGUCAGCUCGUGUCGUGAGAUGUUGGGUUAAGUCCCGCAACGAGCGCAACCCCCUUUCUUAGUUGCUAACAGGUCAUGCUGAGAACUCUAAGGAUACUGCCUCCGUAAGGAGGAGGAAGGUGGGGACGACGUCAAGUCAUCAUGGCCCUUACGCCUAGGGCUACACACGUGCUACAAUGGGGUGCACAAAGAGAAGCAAUACUGCGAAGUGGAGCCAAUCUUCAAAACGCCUCUCAGUUCGGAUUGUAGGCUGCAACUCGCCUGCAUGAAGCUGGAAUCGCUAGUAAUCGCAAAUCAGCCAUGUUGCGGUGAAUACGUUCCCGGGUCUUGUACUCACCGCCCGUCACACCAUGGGAGUUGUGUUUGCCUUAAGUCAGGAUGCUAAAUUAGCUACUGCCCACGGCACACACAGCGACUGGGGUGAAGUCGUAACAAGGUAACCGUAGGUGAACCUGCGGUUGGAUCACCUCCUUUCUAGA
rnacentral:rRNA from 1 species